rnacentral:rRNA from 1 species
GCAGUCGAGGGGUAUGCUUCUUCGGAAGCAGAGACCGGCGCACGGGUGCGUAACGCGUAUGCAAUCUACCUUUUACAGAGGGAUAGCCCAGAGAAAUUUGGAUUAAUACCUCAUAGUAUAGCAGUUUCGCAUGAAACCACUAUUAAAGUCACAACGGUAAAAGAUGAGCAUGCGUCCCAUUAGCUAGUUGGUAAGGUAACGGCUUACCAAGGCUACGAUGGGUAGGGGUUCUGAGAGGGAGAUCCCCCACACUGGUACUGAGACACGGACCAGACUCCUACGGGAGGCAGCAGUGAGGAAUAUUGGACAAUGGGCGCAAGCCUGAUCCAGCCAUGCCGCGUGCAGGAUGACGGUCCUAUGGAUUGUAAACUGCUUUUGUACAGGAAGAAACACUGGUUCGUGAACCAGCUUGACGGUACUGUAAGAAUAAGGAUCGGCUAACUCCGUGCCAGCAGCCGCGGUAAUACGGAGGAUCCAAGCGUUAUCCGGAAUCAUUGGGUUUAAAGGGUCCGUAGGCGGUUUAAUAAGUCAGUGGUGAAAGCCCAUCGCUCAACGGUGGAACGGCCAUUGAUACUGUUAGACUUGAAUUAUUAGGAAGUAACUAGAAUAUGUAGUGUAGCGGUGAAAUGCUUAGAGAUUACAUGGAAUACCAAUUGCGAAGGCAGGUUACUACUAAUGGAUUGACGCUGAUGGACGAAAGCGUGGGUAGCGAACAGGAUUAGAUACCCUGGUAGUCCACGCCGUAAACGAUGGAUACUAGCUGUUGGAAGCAAUUUCAGUGGCUAAGCGAAAGUGAUAAGUAUCCCACCUGGGGAGUACGUUCGCAAGAAUGAAACUCAAAGGAAUUGACGGGGGCCCGCACAAGCGGUGG